CCACGGCGGCAGCAGUGGGGAAUAUUGGACAAUGGGCGAAAGCCUGAUCCAGCCAUGCCGCGCGUGUGAAGAAGGCCUUCGGGUUGUAAAGCACUGUCAGUGGGGAAGAAAGCCUUGGGGCUAAUACCCUCGAGGAAGGACAUCACCCACAGAAGAAGCACCGGCUAACUCCGUGCCAGCAGCCGCGGUAAUACGGAGGGUGCGAGCGUUAAUCGGAAUUAGUGGGCGUAAAGCGCGCGUAGGCGGUCUGAUAAGCCGGUUGUGAAAGCCCCGGGCUCAACCUGGGAACGGCAUCCGGAACUGACAGGCUAGAGUGCAGGAGAGGAAGGUAGAAUUCCCGGUGUAGCGGUGAAAUGCGUAGAGAUCGGGCGGAAUACCAGUGGCGAAGGCGACCUUCUGGACUGACACUGACGCUGAGGUGCGAAAGCGUGGGUAGCAAACAGGAUUAGAUACCCGAGUAGUC
rnacentral:rRNA from 1 species